ACACAGUUUUUUGACCACAAGUACAUCAUGAAGUUUAGGAGGAGGCUGAGUGUUUGUAGAAGCUGUAACCAGUGUGACAGAUCAUACUAGAUCAAGAUAUUUGGAAAAGGGACUAAGCUCAUAGUAACUCCCUCUGCGGUCACUGCUACUGGGUCUAUAAGAGAUUCCCCAAGACGGCAAAGUGAAGUCCCUGCUAUCAAUUCCACAAAAGCUUGUGUGAAAGAUGAAAUAGACCCCCUGCAGCUGCAGCUCACCAACACGUCUGCGUAUUAUAUCUACCUCCUCCUCCUCGUCAAGAGCACGGUCUACUCUGCCAUCAUGGCCGUCUGUCUGUUUAGCAGAACAGCAGUCUUUGGCGACUGAAAA
rnacentral:lncRNA from 1 species